rnacentral:rRNA from 1 species
UACGAAGGGGGCUAGCGUUGUUCGGAAUCACUGGGCGUAAAGCGCACGUAGGCGGAUUGUUAAGUCAGGGGUGAAAUGCCAAGGCUCAACCUUGGAACUGCCUUUGAUACUGGCAAUCUCGAGUCCGGGAGAGGUGAGUGGAACUGCGAGUGUAGAGGUGAAAUUCGUAGAUAUUCGCAAGAACACCAGUGGCGAAGGCGGCUCACUGGCUCAUUUCUGACGCUCAGGCGCGACAGCGUGGGGAUCAAACAGG